GGAAUACGAUAUGUAGCGGUGAAAUGCAUAGAUAUAUCGUAGAACACCGAUUGCGAAGGCAGCUUACUAAGCCAAUAUUGACGCUGAUGGACGAAAGCGUGGGGAGCGAACAGGAUUAGAUACCCUGGUAGUCCACGCCGUAAACGAUGAUUACUCGUUGUGCGCGAUACACAGUGCGCGACUGAGCGAAAGCAUUAAGUAAUCCACCUGGGGAGUACGUUGGCAACAAUGAAACUCAAAGGAAUUGACGGGGGCCCGCACAAGCGGAGGAACAUGUGGUUUAAUUCGAUGAUACGCGAGGAACCUUACCUGGGCUUAAAUGCAGUUUGACCGAUCUGGAAACGGAUCUUCUCUUCGGAGCAAAUUACAAGGUGCUGCAUGGUUGUCGUCAGCUCGUGCCGUGAGGUGUCGGGUUAAGUCCCAUAACGAGCGCAACCCCUAUCGUUAGUUGCUAGCAGGUAAUGCUGAGGACUCUAGCGAGACUGCCACCGUAAGGUGAGAGGAAGGUGGGGAUGACGUCAAAUCAGCACGGCCCUUACGUCCAGGGCUACACACGUGUUACAAUGGCCGAUACAAAGGGCAGCUACCUGGUGACAGGAUGCUAAUCUCAAAAGUCGGUCUCAGUUCGGAUCGGAGUCUGCAACUCGACUCCGUGAAGUUGGAUUCGCUAGUAAUCGUAUAUCAGCAAUGAUACGGUGAAUACGUUCCCGGGCCUUGUACACACCGCCC
rnacentral:rRNA from 1 species